rnacentral:lncRNA from 1 species
UGCACUUACAAUGUUGAGUGCAAGGGUUCAAGCCUCCAUAAGAGCAUUAUGGAGGUUAGUUACAGUUCUUCCUCAAUUAUCAAUUAAUUGAGUGGAGACAGUCUCUCCCUCACGAAAUGUGAGUGGAGUAGGCACCCCUCGAAUAUUAGAGAGGGUUUAAAAUAUCUGGGCAUAUACUUCAGUGUGUCAAUGUAUGGUGG